GAUGAACGCUGGCGGCGUGCCUAAUACAUGCAAGUCGAACGCACAGCGAAAGGUGCUUGCACCUUUCAAGUGAGUGGCGAACGGGUGAGUAACACGUGGACAACCUGCCUCAAGGCUGGGGAUAACAUUUGGAAACAGAUGCUAAUACCGAAUAAAACUUAGUGUCGCAUGACACAAAGUUAAAAGGCGCUUCGGCGUCACCUAGAGAUGGAUCCGCGGUGCAUUAGUUAGUUGGUGGGGUAAAGGCCUACCAAGACAAUGAUGCAUAGCCGAGUUGAGAGACUGAUCGGCCACAUUGGGACUGAGACACGGCCCAAACUCCUACGGGAGGCUGCAGUAGGGAAUCUUCCACAAUGGGCGAAAGCCUGAUGGAGCAACGCCGCGUGUGUGAUGAAGGCUUUCGGGUCGUAAAGCACUGUUGUAUGGGAAGAACAGCUAGAAUAGGAAAUGAUUUUAGUUUGACGGUACCAUACCAGAAAGGGACGGCUAAAUACGUGCCAGCAGCCGCGGUAAUACGUAUGUCCCGAGCGUUAUCCGGAUUUAUUGGGCGUAAAGCGAGCGCAGACGGUUUAUUAAGUCUGAUGUGAAAGCCCGGAGCUCAACUCCGGAAUGGCAUUGGAAACUGGUUAACUUGAGUGCAGUAGAGGUAAGUGGAACUCCAUGUGUAGCGGUGGAAUGCGUAGAUAUAUGGAAGAACACCAGUGGCGAAGGCGGCUUACUGGACUGCAACUGACGUUGAUWCUCGAAGUGUGGGUAGCAAACAGGAU
rnacentral:rRNA from 1 species